rnacentral:rRNA from 1 species
GGAAGGAUCAUUACCGAAUUGUCAAACAUGGGUUGUUGCUGGCCCCCGAACGGGGCAUGUGCACGCUCUGUUUACACAUCCACUCACACCUGUGCACCCUCUGUAGUUCUGUGGACCGGGAGACGUCGUCUUCCUUCCGUAGCUCUACGUCUUUACACACACACCGUAGCGAUGUCUCAUGGAAUGUUUUUUCGCGUUUAACGCAAUACAAUACAACUUUCAGCAACGGAUCUCUUGGCUCUCGCAUCGAUGAAGAACGCAGCGAAAUGCGAUAAGUAAUGUGAAUUGCAGAAUUCAGUGAAUCAUCGAAUCUUUGAACGCACCUUGCGCCCCUUGGUUAUUCCUCGGAGCAUGCCUGUUUGAGUAUCAUGAACACCUCAACUCUCAUGGUCUUCCAUGAUGAGCUUGGACUUUGGGGGUUUGCUGGCCUCGUGGCCGGCUCCUCUCAAAUGAAUCAGCUUGCCAGUGUUUGGCGGCGUCACGGGUGUGAUAACUAUCUACGCUCGUGGUCGUCCACCAGGUAACCCUCAGCAAUGAAGGUUCAUUGGGGCUCAUAAACGUCUCUCCCCAGCGAGGACAACUUUUGAACGUUCGAUCUCAAAUCAGGUAGGACUACCCGCUGAACUUAAGCAUAUCAAUAAGCGGAGGAAAAGAAACUAACAAGGAUUCCCCUAGUAACUGCGAGUGAAGCGGGAAGAGCUCAAAUUUAAAAUCUGGCGUGCC